GAACUUACCAGGUUGACAUACAAGUGGUAGAGAAGCGAAAGUGGAUCGACCUUCGGGAGCUUGUACAGGUGCUGCAUGGCUGUCGUCAGCUCGUGUCGUGAGAUGUUCGGUUAAGUCCGCUAACGAGCGCAACCCUCGCUGUGUGUUACAAGUGUCACACGGAACUGCCGGUCAUAAACCGGAGGAAGGUGGGAUGACGCCAAGUCAGCAUGGCCUUUAUAUCCUGGGCUACACACACGCUACAAUGGAAGGGACAAUAGGUUGCGAAGCCGCGAGGCGGAGCCAAUCCAGCAAACUUCCCUCAGUUCAGAUUGCAGGCUGCAACUCGCCUGCAUGAAGUUGGAGUUGCUAGUAAACGCAGGUCAGCCAUACUGCGUUGAAUACGUUCCCGGGGCUU
rnacentral:rRNA from 1 species